CCUCCAGCCGAGGGCAUGGUGCCUGCUCCCGCCAGCUCAGCACGCUGCGCCUGCAGGGCCGGCAGCAGUCCAUCCCUCACCACCCCCGUGGAACAGCUCCCUCACCCUCUAUAGCCGGUUUCCUGCAGGCUCGGCUCCGGCUCCCGCAAGGCCAGCUGAGGUGCAGAGCCCGUGCCUGCCCGGCUCUGACGUUGCUGUGCUGGCACCAGGCGAGGCCUGACACCCAGAUAGGAUAUGCAGGACCCAUGG